rnacentral:lncRNA from 1 species
GUGAAAGACCCGAGCUAACAUGGGGUUAGUUCGUUAAAUUACAAUAAAGCCUCGUGCAGUUUGCAGCAAGCUCUCGAAUCCGCCUGGUGAUUGGGGUGACCGCGAACCUGGCCUGAGACCCCGGAUACUUGAGUUUUCGGGGGUCUAACAUUUUGGGGGCUCGUCCGCGAUUUGCGACCACCCUUCACCUGAGUGGAUUCGAUCUUGGAGUUUAUAAUGUCAGACAGACCGCCAGAUCCGGACAGUGACCCAAAGUCUCCAAAGAAGAUUACGAGGCACCUUAGUUCCUGCACCUGGACCAGUGAGCGAGAUGCUCAGAUGUGAAACCUGCCGCCUGCCAGAACCUGGCCAAGAAUGUGGACAAAGCUGCUGGACACUGGAAAAUUGAUUGUACCCCUUUGCCUAGACAAAACAAGGUCAGUCUUUUCCAUGUCCCUCUUCCACAGAGAGGAAAAAAACCUCUCACAGUAUAGGCCUGGUGGAGAUUACUGUUCUUUGAGACAGCUGCCUCCAACGAUAAUGGAGAAACUUGGGUUUGGCUAACUGUAUAUGGACUUGCUUCUGACUGGCUUCUGUCACUUUUUAGUAGAUUUGGAUAAAGUAUACCCUUCUCAGAUCUCUGAAAUAUUACUGGUUGUCAGCUUGACAGCAUCAGUCAGUCAGAUCCACUAUAGACUAGUCAGUAUGUUAGCUGAUAAAAUAGUAACUAUCUACUGUUCAGGCACGAGUUCAAGGUUUUUAAGUUUAUUUUGGUUGUCAUCUAAGUACAAACUUAAAGGGCUUUUCAUCAGGCCAAAGGCACCUCUGUCCAAUCCAUACCUGGCACUCUGGACAGAAGCUAUACAUGCUUAUAGCCCAAAUCUGCAGUUUUUGCUAGGACUCAAAGUUAUAAAUAUGUUCUUGCUGUUUAAACAGAUAUCUGCUUUUUCUACACUGUGGGCUUCAGUAAAUAAGCUUUAACCUCUGUUCCUAGUUUAAACAUGUCUUAAACAGGUUUCUGCUUCUGGCAGACAUCUAAAUAUCAGUUGCUGACUACAGACUGUUCUAAGACUGCGAGCCCUAGACUUGCUGUGGAUGUGAACCAGUUCAGCUGAUAUGGACACCCCCUGUCUCUACAACAGUGUCUGCUACCCAGAAGCCCCUGAUGAAUUCCCCAUUGCCUAAAUCCCUUUUUGCUUUUGACUAGCAUUUCAACCUUCUGGGGUCCCUAACUUCGUCCCAAAGUCAGCAGGAAGCAGUUUAGAAAAGAAUUUCGGCGUCCAUUUUCCCUGGUUAAAAUGCUAAGUCAAAAGGAACUCCCUUACAUGGGGAUGCCAAUAUCUAUCACUCCCUGAUGGGGAUGCUAGAGAGACAGCAAUUCCAUGAUUGGAAUUUCCAGAAAAGAAAAUGGGGGAAUGAAGGAACCGGCUUCCCUUUUGGCAGCCAUAAUGGUUGAACAUGUGC